rnacentral:rRNA from 1 species
AGAGUUUGAUCAUGGCUCAGGAUGAACGCUGGCGGCGUGCUUAACACAUGCAAGUCGAACGAACCUUCGGGUUAGUGGCGGACGGGUGAGUAACGCGUGGGAAUCUGCCCUCAGGAGGGGGAUAACGGCUGGAAACGGCCGCUAAUACCCCAUAUGCCGAGAGGUGAAAUGAAUUUCGCCUGAGGAUGAGCCCGCGUCUGAUUAGCUAGUUGGUGAGGUAAGAGCUCACCAAGGCAUCGAUCAGUAGCUGGUCUGAGAGGAUGAUCAGCCACACUGGGACUGAGACACGGCCCAGACUCCUACGGGAGGCAGCAGUGGGGAAUUUUCCGCAAUGGGCGAAAGCCUGACGGAGCAACGCCGCGUGAGGGAUGAAGGCCUCUGGGCUGUAAACCUCUUUUCUCAAGGAAGAAGAUCUGACGGUACUUGAGGAAUAAGCCACGGCUAAUUCCGUGCCAGCAGCCGCGGUAAUACGGGAGUGGCAAGCGUUAUCCGGAAUUAUUGGGCGUAAAGCGUCCGCAGGCGGCCCUUCAAGUCUGCUGUUAAAAAGUGGAGCUUAACUCCAUCAUGGCAGUGGAAACUGUUGGGCUUGAGUGUGGUAGGGGCAGAGGGAAUUCCCGGUGUAGAGGUGAAAUGCGUAGAUAUCGGGAAGAACCCAGUGGCGAAAGCGCUCUGCUGGGCCAUAACUGACGCUCAUGGACGAAAGCCAGGGGAGCGAAGGGAUUAGAU